AUCAUUUUGCCAAAUUAACUUGCGUGACAAAUGUCUAGCUUUAGGCUUUUGGGAUUCUCCUAAUGCUAAGUGUCAAUCAAAAAAAAAGAUGAGGUGUCACAUUGUGUAUCUAAUGCCUAGAAGAGUACUCUAAACACAAGAUCAAUUGCGAUUUGCAAAAUUGAUUUGCUCUAAUUUUCCAUUCUAUAAACGAUCGAUCACACAUAUGUGCUGUCUGUGUAGAUUAAUGGGGAGAUUGGCUGAAGCAGUUUCAGCUGUAGGAAACCUACUGAAAUUGGGAAUUUGAGGCUGCUUUGAGUUUUUCUCUUUUGAAGGAAAUCUUGUUAGCUGAUCGCAACUUGGAAAAUGAAGGCUUGCCAUUGUUUACUUCAUUUUGGAGAUAUAUUGAUAAAAGGAAAACAUGGUAAGGUAGAUAAUGUCUGAUACUUAAUCCAGUUAAGCCAGAAUCUUUACCCCUUGUUCACUACAACAAGCAAAUCUUUACCUUUGUACAAAUUUCCACUCUAUACAUUACUCCAAAAUUCAUUCGAUAUUUUAAUCCUUUUUAUUUCACCAAAA